GAUGAACGCUGGCGGCGUGCCUAAUACAUGCAAGUCGAGCGAAGCGGGGACGGGUGAGUAAUACGUGGAUAACCUCCUAUAAGACUGGGAUAACUUCGGAAAACCGGAGCAUAACCGGAUAGUUAUAGUUGUAUCCGCGCGGCAUUAGCUAGUUGGUAAGGUAACGGCUUACCAAGGCAACGAUGCAUAGCCGACCUGAGAGGGUGACCGGCCACACGGGAACGGAGACACGGUCCAGAAUCCUACGGGAGACAGCAGUAGGAAAUCUUCAGGAAUGGGCGAAAGCUUGACGGGGUAACGCGGCGUGAGUGAUGAAGGUCUUCGGAGCGUAAAGCUCUGUUAUUAGGGAAGCGGUACCUAACCAGAAAGCCACGGCUAACUACGUGCCAGCAGCCGCGGUAAUAC
rnacentral:rRNA from 1 species